AAUCACUGCACACCUGCCAGGCCUGCCCCACUUCCGAGCAGACAGAAAGCCCCGGGACUCUUCAAACGGGUGCAGUGCCAAUGUGCUCAGACCCAGCAUCGCUGGGGAGACUCUGCAACCCUCCUUGCAGGCUCUGCAAAGCAAGUGCUUGCUGGGCCUCUCGGGAAGUUAAUUGUUCUGAUGACUACUUCACGAUGGAGGGAAAGUGGUUCCUUCAUCCUUUUGCCUCCCCAAAGUAUCAAACGGGUCAGAGGAGGCCAGAAAGAGGGCAGCAAUUCAGCAGCUCCAGAUGCUGGAAACAGGCCAGACCCUCGGUGAGUACAGAGACCUGAG
rnacentral:lncRNA from 1 species